rnacentral:misc_RNA from 1 species
UGUGGGAGCUGGCUUGCCUGCGAUAGCAAUGGGCCUGCUCACUAAUCGCGGCCUGAAAGAAUGCCAUCGCAGGCAAGCCAGCUCCCACA